rnacentral:rRNA from 1 species
AUGGCUCCGGCGGGCAGCGGAUGGCGACGAGGUGCGGAAGGGCAGCUCCCAUGGCCUCCUCAUGUUCUUGUAGAAAGAGAGAAAAGGGAGAGAUUUGAGAUGGGAGGGAGCAACGAGAUGAACAGGGAAAUUGGAGAGAAGGAGCGGGGACGCGGGGUCCUACUGGAGUGGCGGCUUGCUGCUAGUUCAGUCGCCGGCGGCGACGGCGCCAUGGAGGGAGGAGCAAGCGGGAGGAGCCUGAGAGAAGAAAAACGAGGGAGGUGGUUAGAUUGGAGCGACGGGGAUCUAGGAGGAUCCCAAGGGAGAGGGUGGCGGCGGCGGGUGGGGAGAUGGAUGGGACAUUGUCCCUAA